rnacentral:rRNA from 1 species
AGAGUUUGAUCUUGGCUCAGAGUGAACGCUAGCGGCGUGGUUCAGACAUGCAAGUCGAGCGAGAAGCCCCUUUCGGGGGGUGGAUAGUGGCGAACGGGUGCGUAACACGUGAGCAACCUACCCUCAAGAGGGGGAUAGCCCAUCGAAAGAUGGAUUAAUACCGCAUAUGGCGGUCCCGGGCAUCCGGGACUUGCCAAAGCUUGACCUGGCACUUGAGGAGGGGCUCGCGGCCUAUCAGCUUGUUGGUGAGGUAACGGCUCACCAAGGCUAAGACGGGUAGCUGGUCUGAGAGGAUGAUCAGCCACACUGGAACUGAGAUACGGUCCAGACACCUACGGGUGGCAGCAGUUUCGAAUCAUUCACAAUGGGCGCAAGCCUGAUGGUGCGACGCCGCGUGGGGGAUGACGGCCUUCGGAUUGUAAACCCCUGUCACCAGGGAAUAAUGAGCGGGUUCAUAGCCCGCCUUGAACUAACCUGGAGAGGAAGCAGUGGCUAACUCCGUGCCAGCAGCCGCGGUAAUACGGAGACUGCGAGCGUUACUCGGAUUUACUGGGCGUAAAGGGUGCGCAGGCGGCUAGGUAUGUCAGGUGUGAAAUCCCGGGGCUCAACUCCGGAACUGCGCCUGAAACUACAUAGCUAGAGACUCGGAGGGGUAAGCGGAAUUCCCAGUGUAGCGGUGAAAUGCGUAGAGAUUGGAAGGAACACCAAAGGCGAAGGCAGCUUACUGGACGAGAUCUGACGCUCAUGCACGAAAGCGUGGGGAGCGAAAGGGAUUAGAUACCCCUGUAGUCCACGCCGUAAACUUUGUACACUAGGUAUUGGCAGAUUCGACCCUGUCAGUGCUCAAGCAAACGUGAUAAGUGUACCGCCUGAGGACUACGGCCGCAAGGCUAAAACUCAAAGGAAUUGACGGGGCCCCGCACAAGCGGUGGAGCAUGUGGCUUAAUUCGAUGCAACGCGAAGAACCUUACCUAGGCUUGACAUGGAUUGGACCGGCUGUGAAAGCAGCCUUCUCUUCGGAGCCGAUUCACAGGUGCUGCAUGGCUGUCGUCAGCUCGUGUCGUGAGAUGUUUGGUUAAGUCCGGCAACGAGCGCAACCCUUGUCCUUAGUUGCCAGCAAGUAAUGUUGGGGACUCUAAGGAGACAAGCUCCCAUAUGAGUGGGAAGGUGGGGACGAUGUCAAGUCAGUAUGGCCCUUACACCUAGGGCUGCACACGUGCUACAAUGCCUGGUUCAGUGGGAAGCAAUACCGCGAGGUGGAGCAAAUCACGAAAACCGGGCUCAGUUCGGAUUGGAGUCUGCAACUCGACUCCAUGAAGUCGGAAUCGCUAGUAAUGGCGUAUCAGCAAUGACGCCGUGAAUACGUUCCCGGGCCUUGUACACACCGCCCGUCAAGUCAUGAAAGCCGGUUUUGCCCAAAGUGCGUGAGCUAACCUUCGGGAGGCAGCGCCCUAAGGUGAGGCUGGUAAUUGGGACUAAGUCGU